rnacentral:lncRNA from 1 species
CAUUUGCCUAAAGAAAACUCUUAUUGUGUUCUUGUUUACACAAUCUCUUAGUUCUGAAGAGGGACCGCAUCAACCUGUGUCUCUUCUCUUCUAAAAGAUAGAAGAUGUGUUAAGUAGGGAGAGAGCAUUUCUAUCUCUACAAAGUAGAGAAAAGCCUCGCUUGUUCUUGGCGUAAAUUAGUGUACACCCAUGUAUUUAUUUUUGGGUUUGUUUCAUUGUUAACCGAGAUGUAGAUUUUGACCCGUCUCUCAAUGGUGGAUAUAAUUUUUGUUUUACUUUUUUUUUGAAAAAAUUGAUUUUUAUAUUUAUGUUAUUUUUGUAACUUUAAAUAAAAUCACAUUUAAUAAAUACUUUUAAUCA